rnacentral:rRNA from 1 species
UGUGUAGGCGGAAGCGUAAGCGUUUUGUGAAAUCCCCCGGCUUAACCGGGGAAUCGCUUGACGAACUGCGCUUCUUGAGGCAAGUAGGGGUGCGCGGAACUCUUGGUGGAGCGGUGGAAUGCGUAGAUAUCAAGAGGAACGCCGGUGGAGAAGUCGGUGCACUGGGCUUGUCCUGACGCUGAGACACGAAAGCGUGGGUAGCGAACG